CCUUCGAUAGCUCAGCUGGUAGAGCGGAGGACUGUAGAUCCUUAGGUCGCUGGUUCAACUCCGGCUCGAAGGA